UAUUGGACAAUGGGGGAAACCCUGAUUCAGCCAUGCCGCGUGUGUGAAGCAGGCCCUUUGGUUGUAAAGCACUUUAAGCAGUGAAGAAUACUCCGUGGUUAAUACCCCCGGACGAUGACAUUAGCUGCAGAAUAAGCACCGGCUAACUCUGUGCCAGCAGCCGCGGUAAUACAGAGGGUGCAAGCGUUAAUCGGAAUUACUGGGCGUAAAGCGAGCGUAGGUGGCUUGAUAAGUCAGAUGUGAAAUCCCCGAGCUUAACCUGGGAACUGCAUCUGAUACUGUUAGGCUAGAAUAGGUGAGAGGAAGGUAGAAUUCCAGGUGUAGCGGUGAAAUGCGUAGAGAUCUGGAGGAAUACCGAUGGCGAAGGCAGCCUUCUGGCAUCAUAUUGACACUGAGGUUCGAAAGCGUGGGUAGCAAACA
rnacentral:rRNA from 1 species